AGAGUUUGAUCCUGGCUCAGGACGAACGCUGGCGGCACGCUUAACACAUGCAAGUCGAACGGAGAAUUUUGGAUUUAUUCAGAAUUCUUAGUGGCGGACGGGUGAGUAACACGUGAGCAACCUGCCUUUGAGAGAGGGAUAGCUUCGGGAAACUGAUGGUAAUACCUCAUGACGUAUAUUUGCCGCAUGACAGAUAUACCAAAGAUUUAUCACUCAAAGAUGGGCUCGCGUCUGAUUAGCUAGAUGGUGAGGUAACGGCUCACCAUGGCGACGAUCAGUAGCCGGACUGAGAGGUUGAACGGCCACAUUGGGACUGAGACACGGCCCAGACUCCUACGGGAGGCAGCAGUGGGGAAUAUUGCACAAUGGGGGAAACCCUGAUGCAGCGAUGCCGCGUGGAGGAAGAAGGUUUUCGGAUUGUAAACUCCUGUCUUAAAGGACGAUAAUGACGGUACUUUAGGAGGAAGCAUCGGCUAACUCCGUGCCAGCAGCCGCGGUAAUACGGAGGAUGCGAGCGUUAUCCGGAUUUAUUGGGUUUAAAGGGAGCGUAGGCGGGCUAUUAAGUCAGUCGUCAAAGCCUGUGGCUCAACCACAGCCCGCGAUUGAUACUGGUAACCUUGAGUGCGGAUGAGGUGGAUGGAAUUCGUGGUGUAGCGGUGAAAUGCUUAGAUAUCACGAAGAACUCCGAUUGCGAAGGCAGUCCACUGGGCCGCAACUGACGCUGAAGCUCGAAAGUGCGGGUAUCAAACAGGAUUAGAUACCCUGGUAGUCCGCACCGUAAACGAUGGACACUCGCUGCCGGCGAUAUACAGUCGGUGGCCUCGCGAAAGCCUUAAGUGUCCCACCUGGGGAGUACGCCGGCAACGGUGAAACUCAAAGGAAUUGACGGGGGCCCGCACAAGCGGAGGAACAUGUGGUUUAAUUCGAUGAUACGCGAGGAACCUUACCCGGGCUUGAACUAUGGUGGACCGUUCCAGAGAUGGAUCUUCCCUUCGGGGCCGCCAUGGAGGUGCUGCAUGGUUGUCGUCAGCUCGUGCCGUGAGGUGUCGGCUUAAGUGCCAUAACGAGCGCAACCCUUUCCGUCAGUUGCCAUCAGGUAAUGCUGGGGACUCUGUCGGUACUGCCAUCGUAAGAUGUGAGGAAGGUGGGGAUGACGUCAAAUCAGCACGGCCCUUACGUCCGGGGCUACACACGUGUUACAAUGGGGGGUACAGAGGGCUGCCACUCGGCGACGAGGAGCCAAUCCCGAAAACCUCUCUCAGUUCGGACUGGAGUCUGCAACCCGACUCCACGAAGCUGGAUUCGCUAGUAAUCGCGCAUCAGCCAUGGCGCGGUGAAUACGUUCCCGGGCCUUGUACACACCGCCCGUCA
rnacentral:rRNA from 1 species